ensembl:processed_transcript Gm15286 predicted gene 15286
GGAGUCUGUCCUCUUUAACCUUGUAUGGAAGGAGUGUUUUCCCAAGCGGCUGGAUUUCAGAAGUGAGGAGCUGGCUCUGACUGGUUUGCAGAAGUGUGUUCUCUGAGGCAAGCCUUCCUUGGUGGAUUAAUUCCAGACUCCGGACCGUGAGAUGGUGCUACCCAGAUCCAGGGUGUAUCUCUGUGGGGAUGCUCUCGCAUGCACAUACCUCCUCAUUGAUUGAAACCUCAGUCCAGGUGGCCUUGAAGAUUAAUCAUCACAGUAGCAGCCAACCCACUGCCCUGAGCUUUACAGGAUCUUCCACGUCCUCAGAUGCCAGCCUGAAAAUUAUACCCAACAUAUCCACACCUCCCUCACUACCUCAUUCUCCUACUUUGGUGUAGAUUUAUUUCAAAGGUUAUUGUCUAAUCAACUAAAAUGCGUCUAAAUACAUUUUCCCCCUAUAGUUCUAAUUUCAGAGUCACCAACGUGCUCUCUUGAAUUUAAUUGUUUAAAAAGGCUGCAGCUGUGGGGUGACAGACAUUUUUAAGAAUUAAGUGGCUGUCCAGUUCAGGUUUUAACUUUUUCUACUUAGUGUUAGAAGCAAUUCCUGUGUCUUUUGAAAAUCCUGCUCGUUUGAAGUAGGUUUUACAAGCAAUCGAUGCCCCUUGGUCUAGCUGUGGGUCCGGAGGCUUUGUUGGAAUUGUUAUGGUGGCCUUAUGUCCUUUGCCAUAUGCAGGACCAGGACAUGGAGGAGUGUGUGU